AAACAAGACUGCUUAAAGGGUUACUCCAGGAGUCUGCAUGUGGAGCAUUUCUGCUUAUUCAGCGCAAUCUUAGCUUGUUACACCUAAGGCACACGUGACUUAGGCAGCCCUGCAACUCUGUUCCGGGAUGCCCAAUAUAAAUUCUGUGCAGACAUGAUGCUUCUCAUCAGUGCUAACAGCAUGUUAGCGACAGAUGUAACCAGCUUUUACUUGGGGAAGCUUGAGCUCCCCGCCCUCGUCAAUCGGUUUAGUUAUUGUUAAUAAUGCACUCACUCUGGGCAUCCACCGAUCUCUCCCUCCCCGGGGCACAUAUCCUCCGAGCCAGGUGAAAGGUCCAAUCAAAUGCUCAGCUAUGAAAAGCAUUUGAUUGGACCACGGAGAGGGAAAGAGUGACACAGCAUUACCUUCUUUUGUAGAAUAUUAUUACAAAUUUGGUGGUAGGCAUGCUAAU